rnacentral:rRNA from 1 species
UACGGAGGGGGCAAGCGUUAUUCGGAAUUAUUGGGCGUAAAGCGCGCGCAGGCGGUUUGUUAAGUCAGAUGUGAAAUCCCCCGGCUCAACCUGGGAACUGCAUCUGAUACUGGCAAGCUUGAGUCUCGUAGAGGGGAGUAGAAUUCCAGGUGUAGCGGUGAAAUGCGUAGAGAUCUGGAGGAAUACCAGUGGCGAAGGCGGCCCCCUGGACGAAGACUGACGCUGAGGUGCGAAAGCGUGGGGAGCAAACAGG